AUUGAACGCUGGCGGCAUGCCUUACACAUGCAAGUCGAACGGCAGCACGGGAGCAAUCCUGGUGGCGAGUGGCGAACGGGUGAGUAAAGUAUCGGAACGUGCCCAGUCGUGGGGGAUAACGUAGCGAAAGUUACGCUAAUACCGCAUACGAUCUCUGGAUGAAAGCGGGGAAUCGCAAGACCUGGCGCGAUUGGAGCGGCCGAUAUCAGAUUAGGUAGUUGGUGGGGUAAAGGCUCACCAAGCCGACGAUCUGCAGCUGGUCUGAGAGGACGACCAGCCACACUGGGACUGAGACACGGCCCAGACUCCUACGGGAGGCAGCAGUGGGGAAUUUUGGACAAUGGGCGAAAGCCUGAUCCAGCCAUGCCGCGUGCAGGAUGAAGGCCUUCGGGUUGUAAACUGCUUUUGUACGGAACGAAAAGGUUUGGCCUAAUAAGCUGAGCUCAUGACGGUACCGUAAGAAUAAGCACCGGCUAACUACGUGCCAGCAGCCGCCGUAA
rnacentral:rRNA from 1 species